rnacentral:rRNA from 1 species
AUGAACGCUGGCGGCGUGCCUAAUACAUGCAAGUCGAGCGAACAGAUGAGGAGCUUGCUCCUCUGACGUUAGCGGCGGACGGGUGAGUAACACGUGGAUAACCUACCUAUAAGACUGGGAUAACUUCGGGAAACCGGAGCUAAUACCGGAUAAUAUAUUGAACCGCAUGGUUAGAUAGUGAAAGACGGUUUUGCUGUCACUUAUAGAUGGAUCCGCGCCGCAUUAGCUAGUUGGUAAGGUAACGGCUUACCAAGGCAACGAUGCGUAGCCGACCUGAGAGGGUGAGCGGCCACACUGGAACUGAGACACGGUCCAGACUCCUACGGGAGGCAGCAGUAGGGAAUCUUCCGCAAUGGGCGAAAGCCUGACGGAGCAACGCCGCGUGAGUGAUGAAGGUCUUCGGAUCGUAAAACUCUGUUAUUAGGGAAGAACAAAUGUGUAAGUAACUAUGCACGUCUUGACGGUACCUAAUCAGAAAGCCACGGCUAUCUACGU